CUUAGGCGUGUGACUGCGUACCUUUUGUAUAAUGGGUCAGCGACUUAUAUUCUGUAGCAAGGUUAACCGAAUAGGGGAGCCGAAGGGAAACCGAGUCUUAACUGGGCGUUAAGUUGCAGGGUAUAGACCCGAAACCCGGUGAUCUAGCCAUGGGCAGGUUGAAGGUUGGGUAACACUAACUGGAGGACCGAACCGACUAAUGUUGAAAAAUUAGCGGAUGACUUGUGGCUGGGGGUGAAAGGCCAAUCAAACCGGGAGAUAGCUGGUUCUCCCCGAAAGCUAUUUAGGUAGCGCCUCGUGAAUUCAUCUCCGGGGGUAGAGCACUGUUUCGGCAAGGGGGUCAUCCCGACUUACCAACCCGAUGCAAACUGCGAAUACCGGAGAAUGUUAUCACGGGAGACACACGGCGGGUGCUAACGUCCGUCGUGAAGAGGGAAACAACCCAGACCGCCAGCUAAGGUCCCAAAGUCAUGGUUAAGUGGGAAACGAUGUGGGAAGGCCCAGACAGCCAGGAUGUUGGCUUAGAAGCAGCCAUCAUUUAAAGAAAGCGUAAUAGCUCACUGGUCGAGUCGGCCUGCGCGGAAGAUGUAACGGGGCUAAACCAUGCACCGAAGCUGCGGCAGCGACACUGUGUGUUGUUGGGUAGGGGAGCGUUCUGUAAGCCUGCGAAGGUGUGCUGUGAGGCAUGCUGGAGGUAUCAGAAGUGCGAAUGCUGACAUAAGUAACGAUAAAGCGGGUGAAAAGCCCGCUCGCCGGAAGACCAAGGGUUCCUGUCCAACGUUAAUCGGGGCAGGGUGAGUCGACCCCUAAGGCGAGGCCGAAAGGCGUAGUCGAUGGGAAACAGGUUAAUAUUCCUGUACUUGGUGUUACUGCGAAGGGGGGACGGAGAAGGCUAUGUUGGCCGGGCGACGGUUGUCCCGGUUUAAGCGUGUAGGCUGGUUUUCCAGGCAAAUCCGGAAAAUCAAGGCUGAGGCGUGAUGACGAGGCACUACGGUGCUGAAGCAACAAAUGCCCUGCUUCCAGGAAAAGCCUCUAAGCAUCAGGUAACAUCAAAUCGUACCCCAAACCGACACAGGUGGUCAGGUAGAGAAUACCAAGGCGCUUGAGAGAACUCGGGUGAAGGAACUAGGCAAAAUGGUGCCGUAACUUCGGGAGAAGGCACGCUGAUAUGUAGGUGAAGUCCCUCGCGGAUGGAGCUGAAAUCAGUCGAAGAUACCAGCUGGCUGCAACUGUUUAUUAAAAACACAGCACUGUGCAAACACGAAAGUGGACGUAUACGGUGUGACGCCUGCCCGGUGCCGGAAGGUUAAUUGAUGGGGUCAGCGCAAGCGAAGCUCUUGAUCGAAGCCCCGGUAAACGGCGGCCGUAACUAUAACGGUCCUAAGGUAGCGAAAUUCCUUGUCGGGUAAGUUCCGACCUGCACGAAUGGCGUAAUGAUGGCCAGGCUGUCUCCACCCGAGACUCAGUGAAAUUGAACUCGCUGUGAAGAUGCAGUGUACCCGCGGCAAGACGGAAAGACCCCGUGAACCUUUACUAUAGCUUGACACUGAACAUUGAGCCUUGAUGUGUAGGAUAGGUGGGAGGCUUUGAAGUGUGGACGCCAGUCUGCAUGGAGCCGACCUUGAAAUACCACCCUUUAAUGUUUGAUGUUCUAACGUUGACCCGUGAUCCGGGUUGCGGACAGUGUCUGGUGGGUAGUUUGACUGGGGCGGUCUCCUCCUAAAGAGUAACGGAGGAGCACGAAGGUUGGCUAAUCCUGGUCGGACAUCAGGAGGUUAGUGCAAUGGCAUAAGCCAGCUUGACUGCGAGCGUGACGGCGCGAGCAGGUGCGAAAGCAGGUCAUAGUGAUCCGGUGGUUCUGAAUGGAAGGGCCAUCGCUCAACGGAUAAAAGGUACUCCGGGGAUAACAGGCUGAUACCGCCCAAGAGUUCAUAUCGACGGCGGUGUUUGGCACCUCGAUGUCGGCUCAUCACAUCCUGGGGCUGAAGUAGGUCCCAAGGGUAUGGCUGUUCGCCAUUUAAAGUGGUACGCGAGCUGGGUUUAGAACGUCGUGAGACAGUUCGGUCCCUAUCUGCCGUGGGCGCUGGAGAACUGAGGGGGGCUGCUCCUAGUACGAGAGGACCGGAGUGGACGCAUCACUGGUGUUCGGGUUGUCAUGCCAAUGGCACUGCCCGGUAGCUAAAUGCGGAAGAGAUAAGUGCUGAAAGCAUCUAAGCACG
rnacentral:rRNA from 1 species